GAAGUUGAGUUGGGAAAAGAUGGUAAAACUUUAUGUAAAAAAUUUCUGAUUUGUAAAUAUCUGAAGAAAUUAGAUUUAGGUAAUUUAAAUUUAUUGGAAAGUUGGUCAAAAGACAUCAAAGUACCUUCAAAAAAAAGGUCACGAAAACAUUUUAUACCUUUCCUUUUCCAUAUGCUAAAGGCUUGAUCUGUCAAGGAAGGUUUAAAGAAAAAAUUAAAUAAAAUAGGGCUAUCAAGCACAAAGUUUUUCAAAGUAAAAAAUUUCCGAAAUUGAAACCAAAUUCGUAAUGUGUGUUUAAUAACAGGAUUAGAUAUGAUUGGCUAAUUGAUGUCAUCUGAUAGAAGACUAUAAAAGUUGAGUUCUCAUUUUCUUUGACAGCUAACGUGUCAGUUUUAUUUCCAUUGCAUGAUGAGCUAAAAUCAUCAGAUAACAUCAAAGAAGUUUUAUACACUUAACCUGCUAUUUAUGUUUCCUGUAACCACCAGGAACUGGAUCGUUGAUACCAGCCGACCACAGUCGCAGUAAAUUUGUUCAUUGUGUCUGCUGAGGCUCAUUUCAAUAUCGGACAGUAUGCAUUGAUCAUGGAGCUUUGAUUGAAGAAAAUUGUUGAAGACAAUUGAGUCCAAAUUGGAGCAUACUUUCCUGAAAACAUGGGAUUAGAUCAAGAUUUAG